GAUGAACGCUGGCGGCGUGCCUAACACAUGCAAGUCGAACGGACUUUACAUGAAGCCUAGCGAUUGUAAAGUUAGUGGCGGACGGGUGAGUAACGCGUGGGUAACCUGCCGUAUACAGGGGGAUAACACUUAGAAAUAGGUGCUAAUACCGCAUAAGCGCACAGUAUCGCAUGAUACAGUGUGAAAAACUCCGGUGGUAUACGAUGGACCCGCGUCUGAUUAGCUAGUUGGUGAGGUAACGGCUCACCAAGGCGACGAUCAGUAGCCGGCCUGAGAGGGUGAACGGCCACAUUGGAACUGAGACACGGUCCAAACUCCUACGGGAGGCAGCAGUGGGGAAUAUUGGACAAUGGGGGGCAACCCUGAUCCAGCGAUGCCGCGUGAGGGAAGAAGGUUUUCGGAUUGUAAACCUCUGUGGACAGGGACGAUAAUGACGGUACCUGUUUAGAAAGCCACGGCUAACUACGUG
rnacentral:rRNA from 1 species